rnacentral:rRNA from 1 species
GCCGGCAGCUAGCUCUCUGCAACUCUCACAUGGUCGCCCACUGAAGCUAAGCAGGGCUGCGCCCGGUCAGUACCAGGAUGGGAGACCACAUGGGAAAGCUAGGUUGCUGCCGGAG